GCAAGUCGAACGAGAUUUAUGACUUCGGUUAUAAUGAAAGUGGCGCACGGGUGCGUAACGCGUAUGCAACCUACCCUUUACUGGGGGAUAGCCCGGAGAAAUUCGGAUUAAUACCCCAUGGUAUUACAGAUUGGCAUCAUGAAGUAAUUAAAGAUUUAUUGGUAAAGGAUGGGCAUGCGUGACAUUAGCUAGUUGGUAAGGUAAUGGCUUACCAAGGCAACGAUGUCUAGGGGUUCUGAGAGGAUGAUC
rnacentral:rRNA from 1 species